AACCUACUCCCUCUGUUCGGAAUUACUUGUCUCGGAAAUGGAUGUAUCUAAAACUAAAAUACGUCUAGAUACAUCCAUUUCUGCGACAAGUAAUUCCGAACGGAGGGAGUACUUU
rnacentral:pre_miRNA from 1 species